rnacentral:rRNA from 1 species
GACACGACUCUCGGCAAUGGAUAUCUCGGCUCUUGCAUCGAUGAAGAGCGCAGCGAAAUGCGAUACGUGGUGCGAAUUGCAGAAUCCCGCGAACCAUCGAGUCUUUGAACGCAAGUUGCGCCCGAGGCCAGCUGGCUGAGGGCACGUCUGCCUGGGCGUCAAGC